rfam:Medicago truncatula strain A17 chromosome 2, whole genome shotgun sequence.
UUGGAUGUGAUGAUUAUUUCCCCAGAUGAUCGAAACUGAACAUACUGUGCGAAUUUUGUUUCUCUUCAGAGAAAUCAAGCCAAAUAAUCUGAUCCUU